rnacentral:rRNA from 1 species
GAUGAACGCUGGCGGCGUGCCUAACACAUGCAAGUCGAACGGAGUUAUUGAAUUGAGACCUUCGGGUGGAUAUAUAAUAACUUAGUGGCGGACGGGUGAGUAACGCGUGGGUAACCUGCCCUAUACCGGGGGAUAGCAGUUGGAAACGACUGAUAAUACCGCAUAAGCGCACAGUAUCGCAUGAUACAGUGUGAAAAUUUCCGGAGGUAUAGGAUGGACCCGCGUCAGAUUAGCCAGUUGGCAGGGUAACGGCCUACCAAAGCAACGAUCUGUAGCCGGCCUGAGAGGGCGGACGGCCACAUUGGGACUGAGACACGGCCCAAACUCCUACGGGAGGCAGCAGUGGGGAAUAUUGCACAAUGGGGGCAACCCUGAUCCAGCCAUGCCGCGUGAGUGAAGAAGGCCUCGGUUGUAAAGCUCUUCGGUCCGGGAAGGAAAGUACGUAUGGGUUAAGUAACCCUCGUGUCGGAUGACGGUACCGGCCGAUAAGAAAGCAACCGGCUAACCUUAACGUGCCAGGCAACG